rnacentral:tRNA from 1 species
AAAAGGUUAGUUAAUUUAUAACAUUAAUUUGUCAAAUUAAAAUAGUCCCUCACCUUUUU